rnacentral:rRNA from 1 species
GCGUUGUCCGGAUUUAUUGGGCGUAAAGAGCGUGUAGGCGGCCAUGUAGGUCCGUUGUGAAAACUCGAGGCUCAACCUCGAGACGCCGAUGGAAACCAUGUGGCUAGAGUCCGGAAGAGGAGAGUGGAAUUCCUGGUGUAGCGGUGAAAUGCGCAGAUAUCAGGAAGAACACCCGUGGCUAAGGCGGCGCUCUAGUACGGUACUGACGCUGAGACGCGAAAGCGUGGGGAGCGAACAGG